rnacentral:lncRNA from 1 species
UAGGGUGUAGAGGAGGCAGAGCCCCACAGAAGAUACCCAUACGCUGAGACCUGUGCCUAUCUCAAUUAGCUCCAUACAGUCAGGUACCACCUCUUGAUAUUCUUUUAUUAACAUCAAGUCAUGGAAGGCAAGAUAUAGAGAAAAGGGGGUGAAACAGCCAUUGAGAGUAUGGCACCUGGGCCCCACUACAAUGGGUUUAUUAAUGUUCUACAAAUUUUAAUUCAGAAACACAACACGUGACCUAUUAACAUUCAACAGGUGACCAGUCCACAGCAGGAAACAUAUUUUGCAUGGCUAUAGUCAGCUAUAGGCUAUAUUCAAAGCUAUGCUUUCACAUUUACAUAUGAUAAACACCAACAAUCAUUCAUAUACCCAUGUAUAUAACUUUAAGCACCUGAGAAGUAUCAUUGGUCAGUGAGUCCAUUCAUAUGGAUACAGAUGAGCACAAAAUGUAACUGUCUGCAGACCAAGUAUUAUAUUAUUAUAUUAUGUAACUGUUAACUGCAGCAAAGAUUUGUUUGAAAUGAUAUAACUAGUAAUGAGUAUUUUUUACCAUGAAAACUACCAACCAUACUGCAAGUUUAUUUCUGGGUCAACUAUACAGUGUUACUAGCUGUGGUCUAUGGUAUGACUUGGAAAUUUUUUUAUUAUGCAGACCUAAUGUUGCAAAUGUGAGAAACGUUCCAUUUUGCUAGGCCGCUUAUGAGGAGAAAAAAAUGCAACUGGGUUGAGUAUUCAAACUCCUAAUAAUUUUGAUGGCUAAAUGUGGCCUUGAAAACUAAGAUGCUGGAUUCCUCAAAUUCUGUGGCGAUGAAAAUAAAACACCCUAACUGGGACAGAUUUUCAGAAAGUGGUCAACAUCUAUACCUGAACAAUAUGGUCUGGGAACUCUUCCUUAUGAUUGUUUGGUGGGAUGCAUCAUGGAGAAUCAUGGAAUUUCCUUCAAAUUCAUGGCUUCAGUGACUGCUGUGACCACAAUGACAAAAUUGUAACCUCAGUUAUAAUA